GUUUCAGUGCAUUCCGUUGAUGUAGAAGGCGUGAAAACGGAAACAAGAAGUAUGCCGGCUCACUGUGCAGCAUACAAUUACACACUGCAUUGUACGAUUGAGACAAGGAAGCUUGGAAUGACUUUUCAUAGGUUUCCCAGAGACUAUGGGUUGAGGAGGAAUUGGAAGUUUGUCGGCUUAGACCUGGUGUCAUUCCAUCAGUGUUAAACUUCCUGGCUCAUCUUGGAAGAGUACGUGCCAGAAAGACCACGACCAAGCAGCCUUGAGAUCUUAGGCAGCGUCUCCCUGAGACCAAAGAACUACAGACUCUUCACAACCUGCUCAAACUCUUGGUACAGGACCUCACCACACGGGUCAAGAAGGUUUCCAUCUCAUUUCUAC
ensembl:lncRNA